GCCUCCAAUCCCUCAGCUUCCUGCAUUAAUGAGAAUAAACAAAAAGGAGAACACAGACACAAGAGGACAUCAUGUCUUUUCAGAAAAGGACCAUAAUGAUGCUGAUGGCGCCAUGCUGUGGAGGAUCUUCAGAGCUCGUGUUAGUGUGUUAAUCACAUGGAUUCACAGGCCAAUACAUGGGGUUUUGUCACUGUGUGCCUAACCUGCAAAUACAGCUUUAGCCACAGUUCAUAAAUAGAAAUAGUCUGCCAUUUAACUUUUGCAUUACAACAGCAGGUUUGAAUGAGUUUUAAUAUUGAAAUACAAUUAUCUAGAUAUAAUGAUAUUUGAGUGAUAUUUAUUUGCUUUUUUUUUUGAGAAUCAUUUCUAAAAAAAAAAAAAUGUGGAUGGAUUUUGACUGAAAUGUGAUCUUUGAUUUAUGACCCAGCUUUCUCUUGACAAAAUAAUAUUGACUUUUUGUCUUUGUUGGUUAUUUGUGAUUUUAUUAGGAUUUUUUUUAAGGUAUUUCGAAUUAAAAUGUUGAAAGGCUGCUGUUUUCAUUCAUUUACAUGUGAUUAACUUAUUCAUCUGGCAUUUGAGAUUAUCAAAUUGAGCUGAAUGACUGAGUGUUUUGCUCUUUACUCAAUAAAAUAAAUGUUGGAGAAAUA